rnacentral:rRNA from 1 species
AUUGAACGCUGGCGGCAGGCCUAACACAUGCAAGUCGAGCGGAUGAUGGGAGCUUGCUCCUGGAUUCAGCGGCGGACGGGUGAGUAAUGCCUAGGAAUCUGCCUGGUAGUGGGGGACAACGUGUCGAAAGGAACGCUAAUACCGCAUACGUCCUACGGGAGAAAGGAGGGGACCUUCGGGCCUUGCGCUAGCAGAUGAGCCUAGGUCGGAUUAGCUAGUAGGUGAGGUAAAGGCUCACCUAGGCGACGAUCCGUAACUGGUCUGAGAGGAUGAUCAGUCACACUGGAACUGAGACACGGUCCAGACUCCUACGGGAGGCAGCAGUGGGGAAUAUUGGACAAUGGGCGAAAGCCUGAUCCAGCCAUGCCACGUGUGUGAAGAAGGUCUUCGGAUUGUAAAGCACUUUAAGUUGGGAGGAAGGGCAGUAAGUUAAUACCUUGCUGUUUUGACGUUACCGACAGAAUAAGCACCGGCUAACUUCGUGCCAGCCGCCGCCGUAACAC